CAGUCUGGCAAUAGCCGUCUUGAUAUUAACAUCGGUAAGAAACCAAGUAGGUCAAUGUGUAGUGUAGAAUCUCCUUGGUAACUUCGUUGUAUUAAUAUUGAAAGUGCGUAUUUUAUAAUAAGCGUGUUAUUAAUAUACCAACACAGUAUUUCAACAAUAUAGUAAGCAAUGGAAGUACUAAUGAAAGGCAUCGUGCUAGGAGCCGCGGCGUUGGUAGCAGCUGUGACCAUAGCGUACGAGUGGUACCAGUACCAUCAGGUGCCCAAAGCGUACACAACUUACGGACAGAGACGGCCUAAGAACGAUUAGUAUUAUGGAGCGAAGACAAAGGGGCAAUGCUAUUAUUUUAUAAGUACAUAGGUUUAAGGAAAAUGUAUUAUUUGGUGCUUUUUGUAACCUUGUCAACCAGCAUAAUAUUUUUAGAGGCUCAGUUAAGUAUAGAGUAUUGUUAGAAUUCGCAAAAAUUGAUAUAGGCGACAAGUGCACUUAAGGCCUUUCGUAUACAAGGCUACUAAAAUCUUCAUUAUCUGAUGAAAUACAUACAUAUCGGGUGUGUCGUACCUAAUCACAUGAAAUCCUAUCACAUAUACUUUAUGAUAUUCUAUGGUGAAUUGUUAAAAAAAAAUAACCUAAUCCAUUCAGUGGUUUGGCCACAGGAGUCAUUUUUCGUUUUUAUAAUUGACAACAUCAUGUGUAAAGCAGAGAUUAAGUUAUUGUAGCCUUAGUUUUUCACUAUUUGUUUGUACUCCUAUUAGUCCGUAGCAAAAGAAGUUUGUGUAUAAAUUGUUUGACAUAACCAGAAGUUCAGGCUCUUGUUUUUGCGUAAAAAAAAGUUUUCCGGUAUCCGGUGUCCCAUUAUUUUGUAAUUUUUCUCUUAACUGUAAUUUUUCGCUUUGACUUGAUUUUGAAAGUAUUGUUUUGCCAAAGAAUCCGAUGGUUAGUCAAAACGUUGAAGCCAAGUAUGGCGAAGAAUGUUUCAAACUUAAGCAAUUUUCGCUACCAAUAAAGUAGUGAAAUAUUGUGAAAAAAAUGCAAAACUUUUGAGAGCCUUUUACUAAGGUUGUGGUGGGCUUCCAGUCUAACUAAAUGGAGAUAUUACGGUAUGAUUUAGUUUGCCAACAAAAUCAGGCACAAAUUAAGAUAUAGGUAGGUAUUCUAAGUUUUUCAUUUUGUUAUCAUCAUAUCUAUUGCCGUCCACUGUUGAACGUAGUCUUCCCUAAAUAAGAGCUAACCGUAUCCUACCGUGCCUUCCGAAACACAGUCAUUGGUAUCCAAGAUAUACUUAGAUAGUACAUACAAACUUAGAAAAGUUGCAUUGGUACUUGCCUGACCUGAAACCCACACUCAUACUAGAGAGGUUACUCUUUACCCACUAGUCCACCAUGACAUACUUGAACCAUGACAUUGAUAUUAUUUUUAACGUGAAUCUCAAAUAAACAGGAAAAAAUACUUUAAAAAAUAUAUUGUAUCUUUUUGAUGACUAAAUAGGUACGUUUUGAAUGUCCAAUGCAACUGCCGACCGCAGAUGCCGCGACUGCAUGAAGUCGGCCGCAGCUGCACUACAGGGCCCCGAUUCUCCUAAGUUAAUAAUGUCAAAAUCGAAUAGAAAUCGAAUCGCAAUAUGAUCGUAAUAGCAGUUUUAACCAUAUCGGGCAUUCUGCUACUAAUAAAAGACCAAUCGUAUUCGAUUGACAUUUGAUUGGUGUGCGAUUGGUCUGCUAUUUUGAUGAUUUUGGUCUAUACGGUAGUUUGCUGUACAAUCAUUUUGCAAUCGUAAAUCAUUUGCAGACAAAAUGAUUCAUUAUUAAUUGACAGAAAAGGAUAAAAACGUUUAUUUCAAAGAAAAAAUAGCGGAAUGCCACAUACGCUUCAAUAGUAAUCGAGUCGGGAUUGGAUCUCAAUCGAAUCGAGUCGAACGUCAAUCGAAGGUCGCUUAAGUAAAAUUAGGAGAAUCGGGCCCCUGGUUUGUAUGUAUUCACAUGAAACCGUUUUGGAUGUAAGCGGCAGCAGCACGUGCAGUCGCCCUCAGAUAUCGACCGAUUUCAUGCAGUCGCUGCAAGUGCGGUCGACAGUUGCAGUCGGCAGCUAGUAUUCAAAACACUUU